rnacentral:rRNA from 1 species
UACGGAGGAUCCAAGCGUUAUCCGGAUUUAUUGGGUUUAAAGGGUGCGUAGGCGGCUUAUUAAGUCAGGGGUGAAAGACGGUGGCUCAACCAUCGCAGUGCCUUUGAUGCUGAUGAGCUUGAAUACACUAGAGGUAGGCGGAAUGUGACAAGUAGCGGUGAAAUGCAUAGAUAUGUCACAGAACACCGAUUGCGAAGGCAGCUUACUAUGGUGUGAUUGACGCUGAGGCACGAAAGCGUGGGGAUCAAACAGG